GUUUGUCUUCAGGGCAGGGUGCAAUUCCCGACCGGCGGUAAAGUCCGCGACCCGCAUUCGUUGAUGCGGUGGACUCGGUGCAACUCCGAGACCGAUAGUAUAGUCUAGAUGGAAGAAGAUGCGA
rnacentral:ncRNA from 2 species